UUCUAAACUAAACUACUC
rnacentral:tRNA from 1 species